UUACAUAUGGAAAUCUCUUCCCCUGGUACCUCGGUGUAUGGGCACAGUACCUCCAUAACACCUUUCAUUAAUAGAGGUGUUCUCAGGGCUGCCAACCUAACAGUACAGGUUGUCAUAGUAUAUCUCUCCUGUAUUU